GUAACACGUGGGGAUCUACCCAAUGGUACGGAAUAACCCAGGAAAACUUGGAUUAAUACCGUAUGUGCCCUUCGGGGGAAAGAUUAUCGCCAUUGGAUGAACCCGCGUCGGAUUAGCUAAUUGGUGAGGUAAAGGCUCACCAAGGCGACGAUCCGUAGCUGGUCUGAGAGGAUGAUCAGCCACACUGGGACUGAGACACGGCCCAGACUCCUACGGGAGGCAACAGUGGGGAAUAUUGGACAAUGGGCGCAAGCCUGAUCCAGCCAUGCCGCGUGUGUGAUGAAGGCCUUAGGGUUGUAAAGCACUUUCGCCGGUGAAGAUAAUGACGGUAACCGGAGAAGAAGCCCCGGCUAACUUCGUGCCAGCAGCCGCGGUAAUACGAAGGGGGCUAGCGUUGCUCGGAAUCACUGGGCGUAAAGCGCACGUAGGCGGAUCGUUAAGUCAGGAGUGAAAUCCUGGAGCUCAACUCCAGAACUGCCCUUGAUACUGGCGAUCUCGAG
rnacentral:rRNA from 1 species